GGCCAGGUAGCUCAGUCGGUACGAGCGUCCGCCUGAAAAGCGGAAGGUCGCCGGUUCGAUCCCGGCUCUGGCCA
rnacentral:tRNA from 15 species